UACGUAGGGAGCAAGCGUUGUUCGGAUUUACUGGGCGUAAAGGGCGCGUAGGCGGCGCGGUAAGUCACUUGUGAAAUCUCUGAGCUUAACUCAGAACGGCCAAGUGAUACUGCAGUGCUAGAGUGCAGAAGGGGCAAUCGGAAUUCUUGGUGUAGCGGUGAAAUGCGUAGAUAUCUGGAGGAACACCGGUGGCGAAGGCGGCGUUCUGGACUGCAACUGACACUGAGGAACGAAAGCCAGGGGAGCAAACGGG
rnacentral:rRNA from 1 species